GGAGAGAGGACAAGUAACAGGAAGGAAGAAAUGAGAAAAGUUAUCCUCUUAGCUUGCAGAGAAAAACAAAGCUUUCCAUGAUGCUGAGGUUUCAACACAUGGCAUUAGCUUGAGCAUUGUGGGAGCUGCUGUGAUUACAGCCUAUUGGUUCUUUAGGGGUGGACUUUUAUGGUCAAAAAAUGUGAGAUUAAGAAGGAAUUUGUGAGGUUGUGUCUGCAUGGUGCAAGAAAGCAAAUACCAUUCAUACUCAGUAGACUAAAAUGUGGAUGGUUUCACCAGGGCACCUUUGAGAUGGGCUGCCUGUGGCAGAAGAUUAAAAUUCACCAGCUGGGAACGAAGUCACGAAGUUGCAAAGAACCUAUCAUGCCAACUGAAAUCCAAGGUCAAGUUGUUGUUGACUUCAGUAGAUACCAAAUCCUAAAACGGUGA
rnacentral:lncRNA from 1 species